GCGAGCUUUGACAGAAAGCUUUGAAGCUCCGAGCUUUAGGUCUGAUUUCUGAAGAUUGUCUCCUUUCUCUCCACAACCUCACCGUCAGCCUUUUUUCAGUCCUCCAACCCCAGCUCUCUAUCUGUCCACUCCAAGAACCUCUCUUAGCCGUCAACCUCUCCAAAAAAAAUCCUCCUUUGCGGCUGCUGUUUUUCUUUCUUUUAUAGGAGACCAACCCUCACCUCAAGGGUGAGGAUGGAAGAGGAGAUCCCUCCCCAACCCAGGCCAUCCGAUGGUAUAUAUCUGUCCUUUCCAAGCUGCGAAAAAUAUGCAGCUUGCAUGCCGGGUAUCUUUUUUCUUUUUCUUUUUUUUUUUUUGAAAUUAAUUAAAACAAGAUUGAUAAUAAAAAUAAAUAAAAAAAAAUAAUUUAAUUAAUCAUUGGAUAAAAAUAAAUAAAUUAGAAGCAACAAAGUGCGAUUUUUCUUUUCUUUUCCUCAUUUUUUCAUUUUUCAUCCUUUUUCAUUUCCCCCCUUUUUCAAGAAAACGUUGAAUUUGAAUAAAAACAACUAAAGCGUAUUUUUGAAUGCUUUUCUCUUCUUUUUUCCUUUUCGAGAAAUUCUAUGCUAAAACUCCAAGAAUAAAAUAAUAACAUAAAAAUAAAAACUAAAAAACUAAAAACUAAAAAGUGAAUAAAACUGACACGACAAAAUAAUAAGUAAAAAAUAAAUAGUAAAAGAAUUCCAAUAAAAUUUUGGUGUCUACAGUUUGCCCCUCUUUGUCCGAGUUUUGAAAAAAAACUUGAGACAAAGAAGUAGACACCAAAUACUCACCUGUGUUAUUUGGCAGCAAAAGGAUUCCAACGAACAGGAAUUUAAAACGGGACUGACCCGAACAAGAAAUUUAAAACGGGACUGACCCGAACAGGAAUUUAAAUGGGAUAGACCCGAACAGAAAUGUAAAUGGGAUAGACCCAGACAGAAAUGUAAAUGGGAUAGACCCACGGGAUAGACCCGGACAGAAAUGUAAACGGGAUAGACCCACGGGAUAUUAAGCAUGGGACUGCACACUAGUGGGACAAACCCAACGGCUAGUGGCAAUAAAAGUGAAACGCUCACUAGUGGGACUGACCCACGACUAGUGGCAGAAUAAAAGAAAAGGGCGCACUAGUGGGACUGACACAACGGCUAGUGGCCGAAUGAAAGAAAUGCGCACUAGUGGGACUGACCCAACGGCUAGCGGCAGUAGAAAUGCUGGUAUGUAUGAAGAAACUGUAUAAGACUUACUUGAAAAAUUAUCAAAAAUUUGCCCCAGUGUAAUGAAUUGGUCAGUGGGAUUAGACCCGAGCCUGCCGAGGUUGGCGGGAUAAAACUCAGUUCCAACGUGAUAUAAGCGGCCAGCGGGAUAAAACCCGGUCCGGCCGAGG
rnacentral:lncRNA from 1 species